rnacentral:rRNA from 1 species
GAUGAACGCUGGCGGCGUGCUUAACACAUGCAAGUCGAACGGAAAGGCUCCUGCUUGCAGGGGUACUCGAGUGGCGAACGGGUGAGUAACACGUGGGUGAUCUGCCCUGCACUUCGGGAUAAGCCUGGGAAACUGGGUCUAAUACCGGAUAGGACGAUGGUUUGGAUGCCAUUGUGGAAAGUUUUUUCGGUGUGGGAUGAGCUCGCGGCCUAUCAGCUUGUUGGUGGGGUAAUGGCCUACCAAGGCGUCGACGGGUAGCCGGCCUGAGAGGGUGUACGGCCAAAUGGGGAAGGAGAGACGGCCCAGACCCCGAGGGGGGGAAGGAGGGGGGAAAAUUGAAAAAGGGGCGAAAGCCUGAUGGAGCGACGCGGGGGGGGGGAUGACGGCCUUGGGGUUGUAAACUCCUUUCGCAAGGGACGAAGCGAAAGUGAGGGUACCUGGAGAAGAAGCACCGGCUAACUACGG